rnacentral:misc_RNA from 1 species
AACUUUUGACAACGGAUCUCUUGGCUCUCGCAUCGAUGAAGAACGCAGCGAAAUGCGAUACGUAAUGUGAAUUGCAGGAUUCAGUGAAUCAUCGAAUCUUUGAACGCACCUUGCGCCCUUUGGUAUUCCGAGGGGCACACCCGUUUGAGUGUCGUGACAUUCUCAAAAACUUCUCGGUUUCUCGACCGGGAAGGCUUUGGACUUUGGAGGGUUUUGCUGGCAUUCCUCUGUUGGAGCCAGCUCCUCUGAAAUGAAUUAGUGGGGUCUGCUUGGCCGAUCCUUGACGUGAUAAGAUGUUUUCUACGUCUUGGGUUUUAGCACUCCUGCUUCUAACCGUCUCACAGUAGACAAAUGGUCCACUCGACCCACAAACCUUGACCUCAAAUCGGGUGAGACUACCCGCUGAACUUAAGCAUAUCAAUAAGCGGAGGCU